UACGAAGGGGGCUAGCGUUGCUCGGAAUCACUGGGCGUAAAGGGUGCGUAGGCGGGUCUUUAAGUCAGGGGUGAAAGCCUUGAGCUCAACUCAAGAAAUGCACUCGGUACUGGGUGACUAGAGGACCGGAGAGGAUAGUGGAAUUCCCAGUGUAGUGGUGAAAUACGUAGAGAUUGGGAAGAACACCAGUGGCGAAGGCGGCUAUCUGGACGGUUUCUGACGCUAAGACGCGAAAGCGUGGGGAGCAAACAGG
rnacentral:rRNA from 1 species